UACGGGGGGGGCAAGCGUUGUUCGGAAUUACUGGGCGUAAAGAGCUCGUAGGUGGCUUGUCACGUCGGGUGUGAAAGCUUGGGGCUUAACUCCAGGUCUGCAUUCGAUACGGGCUGGCUAGAGGUAGGUAGGGGAGAACGGAAUUCCUGGUGUAGCGGUGAAAUGCGCAGAUAUCAGGAGGAACCCCAGAGGCGAAGGCGGCCCCCUGGCUCGUACCUGACGCUCAGCCACGAAAGCAUGGGGAGCGAACGGG
rnacentral:rRNA from 1 species